AGAUUUUGAUUGACUGGUGGCAGAAAGGGUAUGUUAUAUAAAGUGGCAUUAAGGCCUUGCAGACAGAGUUAACAAUAACAUGCUGAAGUUGCAAUUACAGUUUUAUGAAGGCUCAAAUGUAAUCGCAUAUUGACGGUUGAAGAACUCGUACCAACAGAUUUCACUUUGGGUAUUUAAUUGUAUUGAUAAUUAGUAAGGGACUUUACUUUAACAAGUUUCUUUCACCCUUAGCCAUUGUUGUUAACAAGUUAUGUUGAAAUUAACAUAAUUAACGAUCUUUUAACAGAUUUUUUUGGAACUUUUACAAUGUAAUUUGUAAUAAAAAUUUUGAAGCGUGUAUGGAAAUUAUAAGGAAAGUUAUAAUGUCAUACUAACUGUCUCGUUAAAUAUAUUCAACGUACAAUCAGUGCAAUAAGGAAAGAUAUGAGAUGAACAUUAUAUAAAUAUAUCGACAUAUGUGUAAAGGUAGAGGCAGGGGUGUCCUGCUUACCAUUGUAUAAAGCACCCUAUAUUUUUAGAUUAUACUCGUGAAUAAUGAAUCUUAAAUCACAUAUUUGAUAAGGCCCAGCUAUUUUUACCUUUUAAUUGUGUAUAGUAAAUCUACAAAGUUAUUUUAUAAGUCCCCAAAUAUUUUUAGAUUUUAUCCGUGUACAGUGAAUCUAAAAUAUUUUUAGUUAUUUGUGAAAAACUUUUAGUGACGUAUGAUUUAUUAGUUUUAAUUAACUCCCCUCUUGGAUAAUAUUUGUUGAGGAGGUUUUUUCGUAAAUUGGUUAAAUUGUUAUAAAUUAGGCGUAAGUUUUCUCAAUUGAAUUGUUUCAUAUUUUUCAUGUUGGAGCCUUUAUAGCUGACUAUACAGUAUGGGUUUUUCUCAUUGUUGAAGGCCUUACCGUUGCCUAUAAUUGCUUACAUCCACUUCAUUUGAACUUGGGCAAGGGUGGAUAGUUGUCUCAUUGGCAAUCAUACCAUAUCUCCUUAUUUGUAUGAAAAUACAAUGAUUUCUCUUUCUUUUACAGGAAAUAAUGGCAAGUUGGAAUAAGGUAAGUUUUUUUCCCUUAAAAGUCAGUGUUCAUGGGACCUAUGUCAUGUGACCUAUGUUGUUUAUUAAAUUUACAGAAAGGUACAGGCGUGCAGUAUUCUUAGGGGAGAACAGGAGAAAUCAAAAUGAAUACAGUGAAAAGAAUUUCAAUAUACAAAAUUCAAGGACACAAACAAAGAGACACAUAAGAUAUCAAAGGACAUUUCAACUCUCAAAAACAAUCAAAAUACAAACAACAUUCUUCAAAUCAUUACGUAGAAAAUUAAAGACCCUACAAUACUAACCUCAACAAAAACUGAGGCUCAUCUCUAAACUGAUACAUAAUACAAUUGUCUACAGAUUUUUCUAAAAAAAAACAUCUGAAAUUAUAGACAAUUUCAUUCCCUCUUCAUAGUCAUCGUAUUUAAUAUAAAAUAUUGAAACUGUAAACAUUUAGCUUGUUAAAUUCAAUUAUUACAUUUAUUAUACAUUUGUAUGUUCUAGAGGAAAAUGUAAAAACUUUGUUUUGCUUACAGGAACUUUUUACAGCUGCAUUGGAGGGGAAUAUAAAAGAGGUAGAACUAAGUGUAAAGAACGGAGCUAGUUUAGAAUGUAGAAGUGAUUUGG
rnacentral:lncRNA from 1 species